CCAGGGUAGUAAAUGAUGUGCAUGUUUACUACCCUGGGUAGUAAAUGAUGUGCCCCAGUACCCCA
rnacentral:tRNA from 1 species